CGUUAAGUUGCAGGGUAUAGACCCGAAACCCGGUGAUCUAGCCAUGGGCAGGUUGAAGGUUGGGUAACACUAACUGGAGGACCGAACCGACUAAUGUUGAAAAAUUAGCGGAUGACUUGUGGCUGGGGGUGAAAGGCCAAUCAAACCGGGAGAUAGCUGGUUCUCCCCGAAAGCUAUUUAGGUAGCGCCUCGUGAAUUCAUCUCCGGGGGUAGAGCACUGUUUCGGCAAGGGGGUCAUCCCGACUUACCAACCCGAUGCAAACUGCGAAUACCGGAGAAUGUUAUCACGGGAGACACACGGCGGGUGCUAACGUCCGUCGUGAAGAGGGAAACAACCCAGACCGCCAGCUAAGGUCCCAAAGUCAUGGUUAAGUGGGAAACGAUGUGGGAAGGCCCAGACAGCCAGGAUGUUGGCUUAGAAGCAGCCAUCAUUUAAAGAAAGCGUAAUAGCUCACUGGUCGAGUCGGCCUGCGCGGAAGAUGUAACGGGGCUAAACCAUGCACCGAAGCUGCGGCAGCGACACUAUGUGUUGUUGGGUAGGGGAGCGUUCUGUAAGCCUGUGAAGGUGGCCUGUGAGGGUUGCUGGAGGUAUCAGAAGUGCGAAUGCUGACAUAAGUAACGAUAAAGCGGGUGAAAAGCCCGCUCGCCGGAAGACCAAGGGUUCCUGUCCAACGUUAAUCGGGGCAGGGUGAGUCGACCCCUAAGGCGAGGCCGAAAGGCGUAGUCGAUGGGAAACAGGUUAAUAUUCCUGUACUUGGUGUUACUGCGAAGGGGGGACGGAGAAGGCUAUGUUGGCCGGGCGACGGUUGUCCCGGUUUAAGCGUGUAGGCUGGUUUUCCAGGCAAAUCCGGAAAACCAAGGCUGAGGCGUGAUGACGAGGCACUACGGUGCUGAAGCGACAAAUGCCCUGCUUCCAGGAAAAGCCUCUAAGCAUCAGGUAACAUCAAAUCGUACCCCAAACCGACACAGGUGGUCAGGUAGAGAAUACCAAGGCGCUUGAGAGAACUCGGGUGAAGGAACUAGGCAAAAUGGUGCCGUAACUUCGGGAGAAGGCACGCUGAUAUGUAGGUGAAGCGACUUGCUCGUGGAGCUGAAAUCAGUCGAAGAUACCAGCUGGCUGCAACUGUUUAUUAAAAACACAGCACUGUGCAAACACGAAAGUGGACGUAUACGGUGUGACGCCUGCCCGGUGCCGGAAGGUUAAUUGAUGGGGUUAGCGGUAACGCGAAGCUCUUGAUCGAAGCCCCGGUAAACGGCGGCCGUAACUAUAACGGUCCUAAGGUAGCGAAAUUCCUUGUCGGGUAAGUUCCGACCUGCACGAAUGGCGUAAUGAUGGCCAGGCUGUCUCCACCCGAGACUCAGUGAAAUUGAACUCGCUGUGAAGAUGCAGUGUACCCGCGGCAAGACGGAAAGACCCCGUGAACCUUUACUAUAGCUUGACACUGAACAUUGAGCCUUGAUGUGUAGGAUAGGUGGGAGGCUUUGAAGUGUGGACGCCAGUCUGCAUGGAGCCGACCUUGAAAUACCACCCUUUAAUGUUUGAUGUUCUAACGUUGGCCCGUAAUCCGGGUUGCGGACAGUGUCUGGUGGGUAGUUUGACUGGGGCGGUCUCCUCCUAAAGAGUAACGGAGGAGCACGAAGGUUGGCUAAUCCUGGUCGGACAUCAGGAGGUUAGUGCAAUGGCAUAAGCCAGCUUGACUGCGAGCGUGACGGCGCGAGCAGGUGCGAAAGCAGGUCAUAGUGAUCCGGUGGUUCUGAAUGGAAGGGCCAUCGCUCAACGGAUAAAAGGUACUCCGGGGAUAACAGGCUGAUACCGCCCAAGAGUUCAUAUCGACGGCGGUGUUUGGCACCUCGAUGUCGGCUCAUCACAUCCUGGGGCUGAAGUAGGUCCCAAGGGUAUGGCUGUUCGCCAUUUAAAGUGGUACGCGAGCUGGGUUUAGAACGUCGUGAGACAGUUCGGUCCCUAUCUGCCGUGGGCGCUGGAGAACUGAGGGGGGCUGCUCCUAGUACGAGAGGACCGGAGUGGACGCAUCACUGGUGUUCGGGUUGUCAUGCCAAUGGCACUGCCCGGUAGCUAAAUGCGGAAGAGAUAAGUGCUGAAAGCAUCUAAGCACGAAACUUGCCCCGAGAUGAGUUCUCCCUGAGACUUAGAGUCUCCUGAAGGAACGUUGAAGACGACGACGUUGAUAGGCCGGGUGUGUAAGCGCAGCGAUGCGUUGAGCUAACCGGUACUAAUGAACCGUGAGGCUUAACCUUACAACGCCGAAG
rnacentral:rRNA from 1 species